rnacentral:rRNA from 1 species
CUUUGGGAUAACCCUCGGAAACGGGGGCUAAUACCGAAUAGGACCUGACCUCGCAUGGGGUUGGGUGGAAAGUUUUUCGGCCUGGGAUGGGCUCGCGGCCUAUCAGCUUGUUGGUGGGGUGAUGGCCUACCAAGGCGACGACGGGUAGCCGGCCUGAGAGGGCGACCGGCCACACUGGGACUGAGACACGGCCCAGACUCCUACGGGAGGCAGCAGUGGGGAAUAUUGCACAAUGGGCGGAAGCCUGAUGCAGCGACGCCGCGUGAGGGAUGACGGCCUUCGGGUUGUAAACCUCUUUCAGCAGGGACGAAGCGCAAGUGACGGUACCUGCAGAAGAAGCGCCGGCCAACUACGUGCCAGCAGCCGCGGUAAGACGUAGGGCGCGAGCGUUGUCCGGAUUUAUUGGGCGUAAAGAGCUCGUAGGCGGCUUGUCGCGUCGACCGUGAAAACUUGGGGCUCAACCCCAAGCCUGCGGUCGAUACGGGCAGGCUAGAGUUCGGUAGGGGAGACUGGAAUUCCUGGUGUAGCGGUGAAAUGCGCAGAUAUCAGGAGGAACACCGGUGGCGAAGGCGGGUCUCUGGGCCGAUACUGACGCUGAGGAGCGAAAGCGUGGGGAGCGAACAGGAUUAGAUACCCUGGUAGUCCACGCUGUAAACGUUGGGCGC